GGAGGAGUAGCCUAGUCUGGCCGAAGGCGACGCACUGCUAAUGCGUUACAGGGGGAAACCUCUGUCGUGGGUUCGAAUCCCACCUCCUCCGCCA
rnacentral:tRNA from 1 species